AUGAUCAAACCAAACAAACAGCCACUUGGUAACAUGUGAGUACUUUUCAGAUGGAAGCAUCUCUUUAUUUUAUCCGAAUAGGACAAGUCCCUGGUCUCAACAGACAUCUCUUGUUAUCGGUCGGACGAUGGCGGAAGGGUAGUUGUUCUUUGGAUUACCUAACACUAAAGGAUACAAGACGUUUAUGGUAUCAUAGAGGGGUCCACACACGUUAUUAUUUAUCUUAUACUGGGUCUGUCUUUAUAUAUUGGCUUGUUGAUAUUGCUUAAGCUUGGCUUGUGCACCAAUUUUCUUUUGUAAACAACAUGAUGUAUGCUCAGGAUGUUUUGGAUGAAAGUUAUAUAUGUUACAGUCAAUGUCUACAGGCAAUGUGUACAAUGCCUUUGUAACCCCCAACCCUUACCCUAAACCUAACCCUAACCCGGCAAUGUACACAUUGACUGGUAUAUUUCAGGCAUUGUACACAUUGCCUGAUUGUAGACAUUGACUGUCACAUAUAUAGA